GGAGUUGGGGCAAAUAUGUGACUUGGAUCCUUCUCCCUACAGGACUGUUCUGCUGCCACAAAUAUGGUGGAAAUAGUGUCCUCUGUUACACUCUCAAUGUCGCUGGCAGCAGUGUCUGGGACGAUCACCUUUACCGGACCUGUGGCAUGGCUUAUUGGAUCUGUACUGGUUGUGGUUACUGUUGCUGGUGCCACUUAUUAUGUGGUGAAGCAGAUAAUAAAUGAGAAAAAGAUGAAAUAAUGGCAGCCUGUCAAGUAUGAAGCCCUGGAUUCAAACCCCAGUACCUCCGUUAUCCAGGCACUGGUACACAUUCAAAAUUUUGAAUGUGAACAAUGUAAACUUUUGAACAAAUAAGUUUCAUUAAACAAAAUUAGAUGCA